GACGAACGCUGGCGGCGUGCUUAACACAUGCAAGUCGAACGGUGAAGCGCCUUCCUUUUUGGUGGGUGUGGAUGAGUGGCGAACGGGUGAGUAACACGUGAGUAACAUGCCCCCUUCUUCUGGAUAACCGCAUGAAAGUGUGGCUAAUACGGGAUAUUCUGGGUCUGUCGCAUGAUGGGUCUGGGAAAGAUAUUGUUUCGGUGGGGGAUGGGCUCGCGGCCUAUCAGCUUGUUGGUGGGGUGAUGGCCUACCAAGGCGGUGACGGGUAGCCGGCCUGAGAGGGUGGACGGUCACACUGGGACUGAGACACGGCCCAGACUCCUACGGGAGGCAGCAGUGGGGAAUAUUGCACAAUGGGCGCAAGCCUGAUGCAGCGACGCCGCGUGAGGGAUGGAGGCCUUCGGGUUGUGAACCUCUUUCGCCAGUGAAGCAGGCCUGCCUCGUUUGUGGGUGGGUUGACGGUAGCUGGAGAAGAAGCGCCGGCUAACUACGUG
rnacentral:rRNA from 1 species